CGGACGGGUGAGUAACACGUGGAUAACCUACCUAUAAGACUGGGAUAACUUCGGGAAGCCGGAGCUAAUACCGGAUAAUAUUUUGAACCGCAUGGUUCAAAAGUGAAAGACGGUCUUGCUGUCACUUAUAGAUGGAUCCGCGCUGCAUUAGCUAGUUGGUAAGGUAACGGCUUACCAAGGCAACGAUGCAUAGCCGACCUGAGAGGGUGAUCGGCCACACUGGAACUGAGACACGGUCCAG
rnacentral:rRNA from 1 species